GUCCCUGUAGCGCAAUGAUAGCGCGUUGGACUUCCAAUCUAAAAGUUGUGAGUUCAAAUCCCACCUGGGAUG